UGAUGAUGAUGAUGAUGAUGAUUAUGAUGAUUAUGAUGAUGAAGGUGAUUUUUCUCCUUUUCACCAUUGCCAUCUUCGUCAUCAUCAUCAUCAUCAUCAUCAUCAUUACUA
rnacentral:pre_miRNA from 1 species